AGCGAACGUUAGCGGCGGGCCUAACACAUGCAAGUCGAACGCGAAAGGUCUUCGGACUGAUUAGAGUGGCGCACGGGUGAGUAACACGUAGGUAAUCUACCCUUUGGCGGGGGAUAACGUUCCGAAAGGAGCGCUAAUACCGCAUAAGACCACGGAGUCUCCGGACGCUGUGGGAAAAGGUGGCCUCUUCUUGAAAGCUAUCACCGGAGGAUGAGCCUGCGUCCCAUCAGCUAGUUGGUAAGGUAAUGGCUUACCAAGGCAAAGACGGGUAGCUGGUUUGAGAGAAUGAUCAGCCACACUGGCACUGGAACACGGGCCAGACUCCUACGGGAGGCAGCAGUGGGGAAUCUUAGACAAUGGGGGCAACCCUGAUCUAGCCAUGCCGCGUGAGUGAUGAAGGCCCUAGGGUUGUAAAGCUCUUUCAGCUGGGAAGAUAAUGACGGUACCAGCAGAAGAAGCCCCGGCUAACUCCGUG
rnacentral:rRNA from 1 species